rnacentral:rRNA from 1 species
CCUAUGGGGGGCUGCAGUAAGGAAUAUUGGUCAAUGGAGGAAACUCUGAACCAGCCAUCCCGCGUGAAGGAUGAAGGGGCUCUGCCUUGUAAACUUCUUUUGUCUGGGGCGAAAAAGCUCGAUUUAUCGAGAACUGACGGUACCAGAAGAAUAAGCACCGGCUAACUCCGUGCCAGCAGCCGCGGUAAUACGGAGGGUGCAAGAGUUAUCGGGAAUCAAGGGGGCGUAGGCGUGCGAGGACGGCAGUGGUGAAAGGCUGUGGCUUAACCAUGGAAGUGCCAUUGAUACUGCAGAGCUUGAAUGAGGUUGAGGUUGGCGGAAUGUGACAUGUAGCGGUGAAAUGCUUAGAUAUGUCAUGGAACACCGAUUGCGAAGGCAGCUGACUGGACCUAUAUUGACGCUGAGGCACGAAAGCGUGGGGAGCGAACAGGAUUAGAUACCCUAGUAGUC